rnacentral:rRNA from 1 species
GGAUCCAGACUUUGAUCCUGGCUCAGAGUGAACGCUGGCGGCGUGCUUAACACAUGCAAGUCGAACGAGAACGGGUUAUAGCUUGCUAUAACUGUCAGCUAAGUGGCGCACGGGUGAGUAAUGUAUAGUUAACCUGCCCUCGAGAAAGGAAUAACAGUUGGAAACGACUGCUAAUGCCCUAUAUGCCUUUAAGACAUAAGUCUGCAAGGGAAAUGCUUUAGUGCUCGAGGAUGGGACUGUAUGGUAUCAGCUAGUUGGUGAGGUAAUGGCUCACCAAGGCAAUGACGCCUAACUGGUUUGAGAGGAUGAUCAGUCACACUGGAACUGAGACACGGUCCAGACUCCUACGGGAGGCAGCAGUGGGGAAUAUUGCACAAUGGAGGAAACUCUGAUGCAGCAACGCCGCGUGGAGGAUGACACUUUUCGGAGCGUAAACUCCUUUUAUAUAGGAAGAUAAUGACGGUACUAUAUGAAUAAGCACCGGCUAACUCCGUGCCAGCAGCCGCGGUAAU